ensembl:lncRNA
CCUUCACCCACAGCUAUUUCCACCCGUGGGGCUGGCUGUGGAUAGCUCACCUCCAGGUCUGUGGGGCAGCUCUGCCCAGGGCCAAGCCUUGCCAAAAGCAUUCCCUGGUGAGAUGCAGCCCCAUGAUGAACCAGCUGAGAAUCACCAGGGAGCCAAGCAGGUGGAGGAUUUUAAUACCUAUCCCACUCUAACUGCUAUGGAAAGGGAAAGUUCAUUGGUUGUCGAUAUUACCCUGCUGUGAUAAAAGCUUAAGAAGCUGCUUUGCAGAUGCCCACUGUGAGGAGCAUGCUAUAAAUGUUUGCAGUGGGAAGCGAUACAUCACAGCUCAUGGAUGCUCCCACUGAGAAAGACCCCAGCUCCACCUUCUUCCAGGGACGCACUUAGGAAAUGCAAUCUACCACUGCCAGCAUAAUCAUAUUGUUUUCCCAGGUUACUGUUACCAUCUCCACUCUGCCAGGAGGGAAACUGAGGCUGGGAAUGUCACCUAUGACUGCUGUGCUUGUGGAUGUCUCCUUGGAAUCACAUCAGUCCAUUAUAGGCACAGCUUUCCUUUGGCCAUCAGUGUCCAUCUGCUCAGAUGUUCCAGAGCUGCAUCAUGAAAGCUUGGGAAAUUUAUUUAUUUCAACCCAUUUAAAGUGAUUUCACUAAUGUAUUCCACAGAGUGGGUUUAGCGUGUGAGCUCUUUACUAAAAUCAUUACUGUAUUAAUGAGACCUAACCUAAAGCCACUGAACAUGACUUUAAAGGAAUAUCUCAAAGCGGCGGCUGAGAUGGAUGGGAGCAGACAGAACAUGUUUGUCAAGUUAUAUUUAGCCAAAUCAAACUGGAACUUAUUAAAUACAGCAAAAUAAUUCACUGAAUAAUUCACUCCAGUUGAAUGCGAAGGAUUUGGAGAACCUUGGGUUGUUUGAUUGAAAAACGGGUUAUUGAUGCUCCCGCGCGUGUGACGGAGCAGAAAUAGGAGUGGGAGGUGGAGAGCUGUCGCCUCGGUGUGAAGGGCCUGCUGUGGAGAAAGGUCCAUCAGAUAGAAAGGUUGGCAAAGCGUGGAUGGAAUUAAAGCUCAUGCUUUGGUUUGGGAGGGAAAUGAGCAGCAACCCCUGAUUGGGGAGUAUGGGGAUGUGUGAGAACACUCUGUGAGCAGCGAAGGGUAAGAGGAGGAAUGGCUCCAGCAGAGCCUUUGCAUGGACCCAAGCAGGGCAUGCAUCUACUCUUAAAGUAAAACCUCAUUCCCUUUUUAUGCAAACUUCAGGACACACCUCAGAGCUGGUCCCAACCAUUCAGCCAUCCCUAUAGCAUCGAAGAGGAUCAGCUUUGCUUCACGUAUGAGAAAACCCCGGCACAGACACCAUGGCAGCUCAGCCAUGUGUCCCCUCUGCACCCCCUCCUCCUUUAACCCCAUUCAUGCCAGCACGCUCCGUUCAGGAAUCUCCCAGCAAAAGGAAAAGCUUUAAACAAAAUACAAUUUUACAGUUCAUUUCAGUUAAUCACGGAGUCUAUGUUCUGAAAUGAUCUUCUCGGCAUUGCCUAUGGAGAGAAGCAAUGGCUGAUUGGCAUUCCAUU